rnacentral:rRNA from 1 species
CGGGGGGAGCAAGCGUUGUUCGGAUUUACUGGGCGUAUAGGGCGCGUAGGCGGCCACCGCAAGUCAGUUGUGAAAUCUCUGGGCUUAACCCAGAAAGGUCAACUGAUACUGCGGGGCUAGAGUGCAGAAGGGGCAACUGGAAUUCUCGGUGUAGCGGUGAAAUGCGUAGAUAUCGAGAGGAACACCUGCGGCGAAGGCGGGUUGCUGGGCUGACACUGACGCUGAGGCGCGAAAGCUAGGGGAGCGAACGGGAUUAGAUACCCCGGUAGUCCUAGCCUUAAACGAUGAAUGCUUGGUGUCUGGGGUUUUAUAGUCCCCGGGUGCCGUCGCUAACGCUUUUAGCAUUCCGCCUGGGGAGUACGGUCGCAAGACUG